rnacentral:lncRNA from 1 species
AUUCUUGAAUGCUAGACUCAGUCCAGCUUCAGUCUAGUUUCCCUCACCUCCCCACUCCAGUGUUGUUGAUGUGGUUGAGGUCAGAGGGGUAAAUAUGAGGUUCAAGGGAUCAGUACUGGAGAAGGAAACAGUGUUUACCUCCAAGUUCUAGAUCCAAGAUGAGAUCAAAAAACGUGACCUGGCGAGGAGCUAUCAAAUGAGCACAGCAAUGGGAGCACAGCAAGAAAUGUUCACUGAUAUUUCUUGGAAUGAAAUUAUAGAUACACUUCUGCAUUUGAAGUAUUAUAGCAAAAAGAACUCCUUCAAGGUGAAUUUAACAACCAGACUGAGGGACUCUGCUAAUUCACUUUAUUCUGGUCUCAUCCCUGAUGGAAAGGACAAGAGUUGACAAUGAGCGUACAUCCCAAACCUGUCAACGAGUGGCAGGGGGUGGCACUGCCUGUCACAUCUCUGCUUUUGGAAAAGAUCAGAACCCUGAUGGUGCAGCCAUACUGCAGCUUCCAUAGCAAAUCUCAGACAAAAUGUUC